ACAGCAGUUUAGGGGUGCCUUAUAACAACGGGCUGAGAUCAUACCCAUUGAACCUGAUCCGGGUAAUGCCGGCGAAGGGAAAAACGCGGGGAAACAAU
rnacentral:ncRNA from 2 species